rnacentral:tRNA from 1 species
GGAGAGGUGGCCGAGAGGCCGAAGGCGGCGGUUUGCUAAACCGUUAUACGGGCUAAAACCUGUAUCGUGAGUUCGAAUCUCACCCUCUCCGCCA